UAGUGUCCUUUGUUUUCUUGCUUUUCCCUUAUAGGGUGCCAAAGCUCAGCCUCCUGGAUGUAUAUAAAGAGGGGUUCAGAAAGAGGAGUAACGACAGGAACACAGCACCGACAGAGACCAACCUCAUAAAAUCUAUCAAAGGGGAGAGGAAGACAAAACUGCUUUCAAGAUGGGCGACACCCUUAUGGCAGAGUUUGGGUCCGCUGCUACCUUCCUGAGAAAGUCCGAUAGGGAGCGUCUGGAGGCCCAGACUCGCCCCUUUGAUAUAAAGAGGCAAUGUUUUGUACCGGACCCUGAGGUGGAAUAUGUGAAAGCCAAAGUCACCAGCAGAGAUGGCGACAAAGUCACCGUUGAAACUGAGUUUGGAA